AGAGUUUGAUCCUGGCUCAGGUUGAACGCUGGCGGCAUGCCUUACACAUGCAAGUCGAACGGCAGCACGGGGGCAACCCUGGUGGCGAGUGGCGAACGGGUGAGUAAUAUAUCGGAACGUGCCCUGGAGUGGGGGAUAACGUAGCGAAAGUUACGCUAAUACCGCAUACGAUCUACGGAUGAAAGUGGGGGACCUGCAAGGGCCUCAUGCUCGUGGAGCGGCCGAUAUCUGAUUAGCUAGUUGGUAGGGUAAAAGCCUACCAAGGCAUCGAUCAGUAGCUGGUCUGAGAGGACGACCAGCCACACUGGGACUGAGACACGGCCCAGACUCCUACGGGAGGCAGCAGUGGGGAAUUUUGGACAAUGGGGGCAACCCUGAUCCAGCAAUGCCGCGUGAGUGAAGAAGGCCUUCGGGUUGUAAAGCUCUUUUGUCGGGGAAGAAACGGAUUGGCUUAAUACGCUGAUCUAAUGACGGUACCCGAAGAAUAAGCACCGGCUAACUACGUGCCAGCAGCCGCGGUAAUACGUAGGGUGC
rnacentral:rRNA from 1 species